AGAAGUGAAUUAUUCCGCAUGAUUCAGGCCUACUGCAUCAAUUAACUCCAAAAUUUACUUAACAAGAAAUCACUGCUCUGAUAAAGGGCAUGGCCGGCUAGAUUUGCAGUUUUACUAUGGAAUAUAGGCCUUCUCCUGAAUAUCUAAGAAUGGUCGACUACAAGGAUUCUAAAGAAUUUGUUAAAUUUUUUCAUAACCUACCUCAUUUUAACUUAACGCUGAAGACUAUCGAUUCGACAUUCAGACCGGAAAAUGCGAAAUACAGAGAAUCUUUAGUUCUUUGGGCGGCUGUGCCUGUUUUACUCUUGGUAUUAACUCUAGUUCUCUUUCUUAUCUACUUCUGCUACAGAUGUUGCCAAAAAGAGAGUUCAAGACCUAAGAAAAACAAUGAAUUAUCUUGUUUGAGGUGGACAUUGGCUAUAAUUACUUUUUUGGUUUGUGGUCUCGUAGGCCUUGCUAUGUUUGCUAAUGAAGAUAGCUAUAAAGGCAGGUUUCCCAAUCAUUACGAGAUAAUGUUAAAAUAUUUAAGCUUUUAUAUUGGAGAAGAAUGCCAUAACCUAAAUUUUAAGUCUUGACGUACAAAGCAGAUGUGAAUAUCCAAGUAUUACAUAUAGACAAAUAUCCUAGGAUAAAUUAGUACGAAAACUUCAAAAUUUCAAUUAUUGCCUAGAUUUAUACACAAAAAAAAUGUUUAAAACAGGCUUCUUUGUUUUUCUUUGUUAGGCAACAGAUCGAAUUCUUUCAGUACUUUCAUGCUGCAUUCUACUCCCAAUAGGUCUAGAUUGUAGCUUAUUUAUUUAACACUUUAUUAUAAACUACAGAAAAAUGAUAUCCCUGUUGAUUCUGUAUAGAUAACCGGCUCAACUGCCGCAGACGUAGCUCUCUCUCCUAAUUGUGCUAUUGUAUUAUGUUAAUUAUCUUCUUAAUUGAGCACGAUGGUUAUCUAUAGAGAAAAAAGGCAUGAAUUCUUAAUAGCUUGCUAUCAUUAAAAUAAUUAUAAGAAUAUAAAUGAUGAUUGGAAAAUCUGUUAAAAGGUUUAAAAGACUUCUGUCAGUCUAUAAAUGGAGCAGGACGAAUAAUGAGUGAUCUAAACUAUGACAGCAGCGACUUUCAGAAGAAGAGUAAAACUCUUAGAGAAAAUUUGGACAUGCUACAGAAUCAAAUAAAUUCACAAAUGAGGGGAUCUCAAGCUCAGAGGUCUAAAGCUAUUACAAGAAAAUUAAUUGAAUCAGUUUCGAAAUGUGCUGUUAAAAUUGAACAAGUUAACGAUCGCUUCAAAAACGUGAAAACCGACACAAUGAAAUACUUUGCCGAACAAGGAAGUUUCUACAGAUGGCUAGUGAGCUUGUGCCUCUUGUCAUGGACAGUAGCUUUAUGCUUAAUCCUGUUAAUUGGAAUUGGUAAAGCCUCGAAAUGCAUUCUACUAAUUUUCUGUGCCACGGGCACUUUUACUUUGGUUCUCUCAUGGAUGUUUAUCGGACUUCAAUUAGCACUUACCAUAGGUUCAGCCGAUUUUUGCAGUAACACUACGGAUUAUUUAGCACGGAAAUUUCCAGCCGUUCAAGUUGACGUUUUAAACUCCUAUCUAAAUUGCCAAUAUUGGGAAAAUAAACAGUUUAGUGACCUUCGAUCAACUUGUAGAAAAGGAUUACACACUGCCAAAAUUCAAAUCAACUCCAUCAAAGAAAAAUAUCCCAGUGUUAAUUCGAACGAAGUUAAAGAAAUUGAAAAUACUUUGGCUAAUUUAGAUGUUGCCUAUACUGGAUUUAUGGCUGCCUUGGAUUGCCGACUAUUUCACAAAGAGUACAAAAUCGGGGCGGAUGGUGUUUGUAAAACAAACAUAGUCGCUUCUGUUAUCAUGCUACUGUCUUGUACAGUAGUAGUAUUACUACUUACGGUAUUGAUCAUAUUAUCUUCCCAUGCCUGGAGGCAUUUUAGUAAGCCGGACGAGCCGGUUGCUGAUUGUAAUAAGGGGAAUGUUAUGUAUGAAGAGUUGAUGCUCUACUUGCCUCGAAAGGGCUACGCCAGCGUAGACGAAGAUGACCCCUUUCUACCAAGAGAAACGGAUAGCCCUAUCCGGGGAAAUUCAGACGAUAUCUCAAGCGUUCCCAUUCAAUUAAGUGGAGGAUCAACGGAGAAUAGUAUCGAUUACAAUUCAACGCCCAAAUAUUCGAAUUAUCGAGGCUCAAAUACGCUGCCUAAUAACAGUCAUCACAAAACAUCGGUUAUAAAUUCAACUCCAAUGGAUGGAACAAUGCCGAGAAGUCAUUAUCGGGUAGUUUAGACACCUUAUUUAAACAUUUCUCUUACAUAUGAAAGCAUGCUCAUAAAGUAUUUGACUUUUUUGUUAAUGAUUUUUUUAUGCUUUCGUAAAGUCGACGUGCUAAAUUACACUAGUGUUAAAAAAGUAGCUCUGAAAUGAGGAGUGUAUGAUAUGUAAUAUUUGUAUACUAAUACGAUAUUCUAUUUUAGAUCUAUGGUAUUUAUUUAUAUAUAUAAGUUUAUACAAUAUAUUGUAUGAUAAUUUAUAUAUAAUGGAAAAUUUAUCUAUCAAUGUAUUACCAAUA
rnacentral:misc_RNA from 1 species